GCGAGUAUGGCCCUCACGGGUCUAAUCCACCAUAAACACCUUUGUGAACCAGUCAGGGAGACUCGGCCGUGAAAGCCCAGGCGAUUAGCGGAAGGGCCCUCCUUUGCAAACCCGUUUAGAAGUCUUGAAAGUACUUUUGUAUAAUCUAGUA
rnacentral:misc_RNA from 1 species